GCGCUAGAGGGUGUAGCUCUGAUAGCCAUGAGUACUGCAGGAAGAUGAUUAACCCACAAUUUACCGUAUUAUACUAGCAUUUUAGAUAACCUGGACUUUAGAGUGUGAUUCAUCCUUUCCACUAUACCUGAUGACUGGGGAUGGUAUGGUAUAUGAAAUCUCUGUUGAAUUUGCAUGACCUGUCCUGUAAAAUGGGUGCCCCUGUCUGAUUCAAUUAUUUCAGGGAAGCCCCAGCAUGGAAAGACAUGUUCCCAUAAUGCUUUGGCCGUGGCUAGUGCAGAGUCUCUCCUUAGGGGAAUUACC